rnacentral:rRNA from 1 species
UACGUAGGGUGCAAGCGUUAAUCGGAAUUACUGGGCGUAAAGCGUGCGCAGGCGGUUGUGCAAGACAGAUGUGAAAUCCCCGGGCUCAACCUGGGAACUGCAUUUGUGACUGCACGGCUGGGGUGCGGCAGAGGGGGAUGGAAUUCCGCGUGUAGCAGUGAAAUGCGUAGAUAUGCGGAGGAACACCGAUGGCGAAGGCAAUCCCCUGGGCCUGCACUGACGCUCAUGCACGAAAGCGUGGGGAGCAAACAGG